rnacentral:rRNA from 1 species
GACGAACGCUGGCGGCGUGCCUAAUACAUGCAAGUAGAACGCAGUUGCGAACGGAUGAGUAACGCGUAGGUAACUGCCUGGUAGCGGGGGAUAAAUAUUGGAAACGAUCGCUCAUACCGCAUACUACCAGAUGGACCUGCGUGGUAUUAGCGAGUUGGUGGGGUAACGGCUCACCAAGUCAAUGAGACAUAGCCGACCUGAGAGGGUGAGCGGCCACACUUGGACUGAGAAACGCCCCAGACUCCGACGGGAGGCAGCAGUAGGGAAUCUUCGGCAAUGGACGGAAGUCUGACCGAGCAACGCCGCGUGAGUGAAGAAGGUUUUCGGAUCGUAAAGCUCUGUUGUAAGAGAAGCGGUAUCUUACCAGAAAGGGACGGCUAACUACGUGCCAGCAGCCGCGGUAAUAC